rnacentral:rRNA from 1 species
UUCCCCUAGUAACUGCGAGUGAAGCGGGAAAAGCUCAAAUUUAAAAUCUGGUAGCCUUUGGUUGCCCGAGUUGUAAUCUAGAGAAGCGCUAUCCGCGUUGGACCGUGUAUAAGUCUCCUGGAAUGGAGCGUCAUAGAGGGUGAGAAUCCCGUCUUUGACACGGACUACCAAGGCUUUGUGAUACGCUCUCAAAGAGUCGAGUUGUUUGGGAAUGCAGCUCUAAAUGGGUGGUAAAUUCCAUCUAAAGCUAAAUAUUGGCGAGAGACCGAUAGCGAACAAGUACCGUGAGGGAAAGAUGAAAAGAACUUUGGAAAGAGAGUUAAACAGUACGUGAAAUUGUUGAAAGGGAAACGCUUGAAGUCAGUCGCGUUGUCCAGGGAUCAACCUUGCUUUUGCUUGGUGUACUUUCUGGUUAACGGGUCAACAUCAAUUUUGACCAGUGGAAAAAGAUUAAAGGAAUGUGGCAUCUUCGGAUGUGUUAUAGCCUUUGGUCGUAUACAUUGGUUGGGAUUGAGGAACUCAGCACGCCGCAAGGCCGGGUUUUUAACCACGUUCGUGCUUAGGAUGUUGGCAUAAUGGCUUUAAUCGACCCGUCUUGAAACACGGACCAAGGAGUCUAACAUGCCUGCGAGUAUUUGGGUGGAAAACCCAAGUGCGUAAUGAAAGUGAAAGUUGGGAUCUCUGUCGUGGAGAGCACCGACGCCCGGACCAGACCUUUUGUGACGGAUCCGCGGUAGAG